rnacentral:rRNA from 1 species
UACGGAGGGUGCAAGCGUUAAUCGGAAUUACUGGGCGUAAAGCGCGCGUAGGCGGUGAGGUAAGUCAGAUGUGAAAGCCCCGGGCUUAACCUGGGAACUGCAUUUGAUACUGCCUGACUCGAGUAUGGUAGAGGGGGGUGGAAUUCCCGGAGUAGCGGUGAAAUGCGUAGAUAUCGGGAGGAACACCAGUGGCGAAGGCGGCCCCCUGGAUCGAUACUGACGCUGAGGUGCGAAAGCGUGGGGAGCAAACAGG